rnacentral:lncRNA from 1 species
AGAUUUCCGAGUUGUCCCUGGUAUGGGUGAGUUUGGAGACCGAUAUUUUGGAACAGAUGAUGAUGAUAACCUGCAAGCGGUGGCCCCUAUGCAAUUGUCCAAUCAGAGCCGUUGAAAUUUCAAUACCAAGAUGAUAUACUGCCUCAACUGGAGGGUUCAACUAAGUAUGUUUUAGUCAUAAUGAACUUGGAAACAAUUGACUUAAUCAGACCUGGAGUUCCCAUAGUUGAAUUGUUAUUAUUAUCAUUAUUAUUUUUUUCCUUUUUUUUCCCCCUAAAAUCUUUGGAGUCACACAC